rnacentral:rRNA from 1 species
GACGAACGCUGGCGGCGUACCUAAUACAUGCAAGUCGAACGAGAGCGACCGGUGCUUGCACUGGUCAAUCUAGUGGCGAACGGGUGAGUAACACGUGGGUAACCUGCCCAUCAGAGGGGGAUAACAUCCGGAAACGGAUGCUAAAACCGCAUAGGUCUUCGAACCGCAUGGUUUGAAGAGGAAAAGAGGCGCAAGCUUCUGCUGAUGGAUGGACCCGCGGUGCAUUAGCUAGUUGGUGAGGUAACGGCUCACCAAGGCCGUGAUGCAUAGCCGACCUGAGAGGGUGAUCGGCCACAUUGGGACUGAGACACGGCCCAAACUCCUACGGGAGGCAGCAGUAGGGAAUCUUCCGCAAUGGACGCAAGUCUGACGGAGCAACGCCGCGUGAGUGAAGAAGGUGUUCGGAUCGUAAAACUCUGUUGUUAGAGAAGAACAAGUGCUAGAGUAACUGUUAGCGCCUUGACGGUAUCUAACCAGAAAGCCACGGCUAACUACGUG